AAAAAGCGCCGGCUAACUACGUGCCAGCAGCCGCGGUAAUACGUAGGGCGCAAGCGUUAUCCGGAAUUAUUGGGCGUAAAGAGCUCGUAGGCGGUUUGUCGCGUCUGCUGUGAAAUCCCGAGGCUCAACCUCGGGCCUGCAGUGGGUACGGGCAGACUAGAGUGCGGUAGGGGAGAUUGGAAUUCCUGGUGUAGCGGUGGAAUGCGCAGAUAUCAGGAGGAACACCGAUGGCGAAGGCAGAUCUCUGGGCCGUAACUGACGCUGAGGAGCGAAAGGGUGGGGAGCAAACAGGCUUAGAUACCCUGGUAGUCCACCCCGUAAACGUUGGGAACUAGUUGUGGGGACCAUUCCACGGUUUCCGUGACGCAGCUAACGCAUUAAGUUCCCCGCCUGGGGAGUACGGCCGCAAGGCUAAAACUCAAAGGAAUUGACGGGGACCCGCACAAGCGGCGGAGCAUGCGGAUUAAUUCGAUGCAACGCGAAGAACCUUACCAAGGCUUGACAUACACCAGAACGGGCCAGAAAUGGUCAACUCUUUGGACACUGGUGAACAGGUGGUGCAUGGUUGUCGUCAGCUCGUGUCGUGAGAUGUUGGGUUAAGUCCCGCAACGAGCGCAACCCUCGUUCUAUGUUGCCAGCACGUAAUGGUGGGAACUCAUGGGAUACUGCCGGGGUCAACUCGGAGGAAGGUGGGGAUGACGUCAAAUCAUCAUGCCCCUUAUGUCUUGGGCUUCACGCAUGCUACAAUGGCCGGUACAAAGGGCUGCAAUACCGUGAGGUGGAGCGAAUCCCAAAAAGCCGGUCCCAGUUCGGAUUGAGGUCUGCAACUCGACCUCAUGAAGUCGGAGUCGCUAGUAAUCGCAGAUCAGCAACGCUGCGGUGAAUACGUUCCCGGGUCUUGUACACACCGCCCGUCAAGUCAUGAAAGUCGGU
rnacentral:rRNA from 1 species